AUACUCUGGUUUCUCUUCAGAUCACACAAAUCUUUAGCCUUUUACCAAAGAUUUCUGUGGAAAGGAACAAUUCUGAAUUUUGAACCAAUUUUUGAGGCCUUGCAUCUGCAAGGC